rnacentral:tRNA from 2 species
GAUUCGGCAGCUUACUUGGUAAAGCGCUCGUUUAGCAUACAAGAGUCCUGGGUUUAAAUCCCCAGCCGAGCCC